GACAUGCGUGCUGUCAGCAGAUGGGAGAGAGGAUCGAGAAAGAUGGAGGGAGGCUGCUGUAACACCUGUUCUGGUUGGGAUUCUGAAUGAAUAUGAAAGUGGCUCUCCCUGUGAGAGGAGUAUGCUUCUUGAUCACUGAAGGCUGACUAGGCGAUGCAGAAGGUGUUACUCACCAUUCAAACUUUUCAACUUUGCCACAGCAUCCUAUUCCUGGAAAUCCAAAGUAUCACAGCAUCUGAAAGGUACAGG